rnacentral:rRNA from 1 species
UGGUGGAGUGAUUUGUCUGCCUAAUCGCGAUAACGAACGAGACCCUUACCUGCUAAAUAGUCGACCUGGCUUUGGCCGGGACCUAUUUCGGUUACGACUUCUUAGAGGGACUGCGGGCUCCAAGCCCGAGGAAGCCGGGGCAAUAACA